rnacentral:rRNA from 1 species
CCUACGGGGUGCAGCAGUGAGGAAUAUUGGUCAAUGGGCGCGAGCCUGAACCAGCCAAGUCGCGUGAGGGAAGACGGUCCUAUGGAUUGUAAACCUCUUUUGUCGGGGAGCAAAAGACGCCACGCGUGGCGUUCCGAGCGUACCCGACGAACAAGCAUCGGCUUACUCCGUGCCAGCAGCCGCGGUAAUACGGGGGAUUCGAGCGUUAUCCGGAUUUAUUGGGUUUAAAGGGUUCGCAGGCGGAAGAGCCAGUCAGCGGUAGAAUGGAGAGGCUCAACCUCUUCGAGCACUUGAAACUGGGUUUCUUGAGUGAGCGAGAAGUAUGCGGAAUGCGUGGUGUAGCGGUGAAAUGCAUAGAUAUCACGCAGAACUCCGAUUGCGAAGGCAGCUUACUAAACUGCAACUGACAUUGAUGCUCGAAAGUGUGGGUAUCAAACAGGAUUAGAUACCCCAGUAGUC